UGGAGCUGAGACCAGUCGAAGAUACCAGCUGGCUGCAACUGUUUAUUAAAAACACAGCACUGUGCAAACACGAAAGUGGACGUAUACGGUGUGACGCCUGCCCGGUGCCGGAAGGUUAAUUGAUGGGGUUAUCCGUAAGGAGAAGCUCUUGAUCGAAGCCCCGGUAAACGGCGGCCGUAACUAUAACGGUCCUAAGGUAGCGAAAUUCCUUGUCGGGUAAGUUCCGACCUGCACGAAUGGCGUAAUGAUGGCCAGGCUGUCUCCACCCGAGACUCAGUGAAAUUGAACUCGCUGUGAAGAUGCAGUGUACCCGCGGCAAGACGGAAAGACCCCGUGAACCUUUACUAUAGCUUGACACUGAACAUUGAGCCUUGAUGUGUAGGAUAGGUGGGAGGCUUUGAAGCGUGGACGCCAGUCUGCGUGGAGCCAACCUUGAAAUACCACCCUUUAAUGUUUGAUGUUCUAACGUUGGCCCCUUACCGGGGUUGCGGACAGUGUCUGGUGGGUAGUUUGACUGGGGCGGUCUCCUCCCAAAGCGUAACGGAGGAGCACGAAGGUUAGCUAAUCCUGGUCGGACAUCAGGAGGUUAGUGCAAUGGCAUAAGCUAGCUUGACUGCGAGCGUGACGGCGCGAGCAGGUGCGAAAGCAGGUCAUAGUGAUCCGGUGGUUCUGAAUGGAAGGGCCAUCGCUCAACGGAUAAAAGGUACUCCGGGGAUAACAGGCUGAUACCGCCCAAGAGUUCAUAUCGACGGCGGUGUUUGGCACCUCGAUGUCGGCUCAUCACAUCCUGGGGCUGAAGUAGGUCCCAAGGGUAUGGCUGUUCGCCAUUUAAAGUGGUACGCGAGCUGGGUUUAGAACGUCGUGAGACAGUUCGGUCCCUAUCUGCCGUGGGCGCUGGAGAAUUGAGGGGGGCUGCUCCUAGUACGAGAGGACCGGAGUGGACGCAUCACUGGUGUUCGGGUUGUCAUGCCAAUGGCACUGCCCGGUAGCUAAAUGCGGAAGAGAUAAGUGCUGAAAGCAUCUAAGCACGAAACUUGCCCCGAGAUGAGUUCUCCCUGAGACUUUAAGUCUCCUGAAGGAACGUUAAAGACGAUGACGUUGAUAGGCCGGGUGUGUAAGCGCAGCGAUGCGUUGAGCUAACCGGUACUAAUGAACCGUGAGGCUUAACCUU
rnacentral:rRNA from 1 species